rnacentral:rRNA from 1 species
UACGGAGGUGGCAAGCGUUGUUCGGAAUCACUGGGCGUAAAGGGCGUGUAGGCGGUCAGGUAAGUGGGAUGUGAAAUGCCCCGGCUCACCCGGGGACCGGCAUCCCAUACUGCUUGGCUUGAGUACGGGAGAGGAUGUGGGAAUUCCUGGUGUAGCGGUGAAAUGCGUAGAUAUCAGGAGGAACACCGGUGGCGAAGGCGCACAUCUGGCCCGAUACUGACGCUGAGGCGCGAAAGCUAGGGGAGCAAACGGG